GAGUGAGAGCAACACCGAUGAGCUCUGUGCCGUUUGUGAAUGAACAGGGAGUGAUGCGCGCAAUGCCCGAGGGGAUACUGUCACAGUUAAUUGGCUGACCCUGGGGAUGGCAGUCAGACGUGGGAGGUAAAAAGAGCCCGCUCAGACAGUCCGGCCUCGGACACACAGCUUCCCGUCACUCAGACCACUGCAGGUAACACGCUUCCUCACAGCGGGAUCGCCGAGCUCCGAUUCACAGACGCUGUAUUUUACGCCUCCAUCUGCAUUGCAAUGGCUUAAUACUGUCCGGACAUUCUUGAGGGUGGAGACGAUCUCACUCACAGUGAAAGAUGGAGGCAGAGAUUCAGCAGAUCCUGGUCCAGGUGUCGGAGCUGCAGCACCAAAGGAAAGUUCACUUCCUGCUUCAAAAAAUCCGAUCUGCUCCCCAAAUCUGAAGGCCUACACACACCGCCAAAGAAACACCACAAAAUCCUGAAUUUUCUGGUUCUGA
ensembl:lncRNA